GCCACUCUGAAAAGCAGAGGCGUCUCGCGGCGACCUCUCGCCCACGGUGAAAGCCGACCUCGGUCGGUGAAGCUCUCAGGCCCAUGACAGAGGGGGAGCC
rnacentral:ncRNA from 2 species